rnacentral:rRNA from 1 species
UAGGGAAUCUUCCACAAUGGACGAAAGUCUGAUGGAGCAACGCCGCGUGAGUGAAGAAGGGUUUCGGCUCGUAAAACUCUGUUGUUAAAGAAGAACAUAUCUGAGAGUAACUGUUCAGGUGUUGACGGUAUUUAACCAGAAAGCCACGGCUAACUACGUGCCAG